AUGCUCAUUGGUUUGUCCACUAGACUCACUACUGGCUCCCCCAAUGCCAUCUUCCUGAAUGGCUGGUGUCAUAGUCUGAGCUUCCAUAAGAACUUGCAGUUAUCCAAACCAAUCAUGUCAGAAGAAGGGAAGAAGCUAGGCCUUAUUGAUUCUCUUGUGGCCUCUGAAGAGUUGCUAAGAGUAUCUUGGCAAUGGGCUUUAGACAUAGCAAAUAUGCACAAACCAUGGGUCCGUUCCCUUCACAGGACAGACAAGAUUGGUUCCCUUUCUGAAGCACGCAAUCUAAUAAAUAUUGCAAGGCAGCAAGCCAGAAAUACUGCCCCAAAUAUGCCUCAGCAUCAGGUCUGCCUUGAUAUGAUCAAGGUGGGCAUUGUUCAAGGAGGAUAUAGUGGAGUUCUACAGGAGAAAAAAGCUUUUAACGAUGUAGUCUCAUCAGACACUUCAAAAGGACUUGUUCAUGCCUUUUUUUUUCCCAACGUGCAACAUCCAAGGAUCCUUGCUUGGAUGGUGAUGGUUUUGUAUUCUCUUAUAUUGUAAAUGCUCAAGUGCCUAAUGUCACUGAUGUCGGGCUUAAACCAAGGCAUGUAAAGAAAGUUGCUGUUAUUGGGGGAGGUCUAAUGGGUUCUGGCAUAGCUACAGCUCUUAUUUUGAGCAACAUUUCUGUAGUUCCCAAGGAAGUCAACUUUGAAUAUCUUCUGAAGGGAUUAAAAUCAGUAGAAGCAAAUGUUCAAGGCUUAGUAACAAAAGGAAAGUUGACACAAGAUAAAGUGCAAAAAACCUUAUCAAUGCUUAAAGGUGUAUUGGACCACUCAGAAUUUAAAGAUGUGGAUAUGGUCAUAGAGGCUGUCAUUGAGAGUGUUCCUUUAAAACAAAAAAUAUUUAGUGAGAUUGAGAAGGCUUGCCCUGCCCAUUGCAUUUUAGCAGCAAACACAUCUACUAUUGACCUCAACAUAGUUGGGGAAAAGACAAGCUCUCAAGAUCGCAUUGUGGUGUGGGGGCACAUUUUUCAGCGUGCUGUUGGUGGCAAUGCAUCAAGUCCUGCUCAUGUGAUGCCUCUUCUGGAGAUUGCAAGGACAGAGAAGACAUCUGCUCAAGUAAUCCUUGAUCUCAUGACAGUUGGGAAAAUCAUUAAGAAAGUUCCUGUUGUAGUGGGUAACUGCGCUGGCUUUGCAGUCAAUCGGACAUUUUUCCCAUAUUUGCAAGGUGCACUUCUUCUGGUAAACUUAGGUGUGGACGUGUUCAGAAUUGUCAGGGAAAUCAGCAGUUUUGGCCUCCCCGUGGGUCCUUUCCAGCUUCAAGACGUAGCUGGAUAUGGAGUAGCCAUGGCAGCUGGGAAAGUACUUGCUAAUGCAUUCUCUGAUCGCUCAUUUAUGUCGCCAUUGGUUGAACUUUUGCUGAAAAAUGGAAGAAAUGGUAAAAACAAUGGGAAAGGAUACUACAUUUUUGAAAGGGGGAGUAAGCCGAAACCUGACCCAUCCAUGCUACCAAUUAUUGAGGAGUCUAGAUGGCUAACCAAUAUUAUGCCCGGUGGAAAGCCUAUAUCUGUUACUGACCAAAAAAUAGUGGAGAUGAUACUCUUUCCAGUGGUUAAUGAGGCAUGUCGUGUUUUAGAUGAACGGGUAGUUGUUUGAGCAUCAGACCUUGACACUGCAUCUGUUCUUGGAAUGAGUUUUCCAUCUUUCCAUGGUGGUAUUGUUUUUUGGGCAGAUACAGUUGGGCCUAACCAAAUUUAUGCAAGUCUGAAGAAAUGGUCAAAACUCUGGAAAUUUUUUUGAACCAUCAAGGUUUUUGGAAGAAAGAGCAACAAGAGGCAUCCCAUUGAGUGUGCCUUCUUCACCAUCUCCAACAUCAAAGUCACGCUUGUGAGCAGUGGUUUUACAUCCACUCUGACCUGAAGCAAGCACACUGAGUAUGAAGAAGAGAAAUAAAGGUGUCUUUUAUUUUUCGGGCUUGUAAUUUUUUUGGAAGUUUAGAAGUAAUAAGACGUUGGUUUCCCAAUGUGUUUGCUGUUUUCCACAACAGCAAACACAUUGUCUUUCUUUAAUAAAAUUAUUAUUAUUGUUGUUCCUGGAAUCAGGGUGAGAUUUUCCUCAUCUCUAUUGUCAUCAUUCUCAACUGAACCAUAACAAAUCUCUUCCGUCCAAUUAAUCCUAUUAGUUUAAAGAGAAACAUCAGGUGAGGAGGAAGGCUCUGGUAUUGUUUAUCAUUAGUUUCAAGUAAAAUGCAAAGAUACAGGUGAAAGGAGGUUUCUCGUUAGCUUGAAGUGGAAUGUAUAGAUACAGGUGAAGAGGGGAUGACACAUGUUUGUGAUGGAAUUGUAAUAUUAUUUGUAGCCAUAAUAUGCUCAAAGUUUCCUUAUCAAGAACACUUGGUUAAAAUGUUGAACAA